rnacentral:rRNA from 1 species
CACGUAGGGGGCGAGCGUUGUCCGGAUUUAUUGGGCGUAGAGAGCUCGUAGGCGGCUCAGAAAGUCGGGUGUGAAACCUCCAGGCUCAACCUGGAGACGCCACCUGAUACUGCUGUGGCUAGAGUCCGGUAGGGGAACACGGAAUUCCCGGUGUAGCGGUGAAAUGCUUAGAUAUCGGGAGGAACACCAGUGGCGAAGGCGGUGUUCUGGGCCGGAACUGACGCUGAGGAGCGAAAGCGUGGGUAGCAAACAGG